GACGAACGCUGGCGGCGUGCCUAAUACAUGCAAGUUGAGCGCUGAAGGUUGGUACUUGUACCAACUGGAUGAGCAGCGAACGGGUGAGUAACGCGUGGGGAAUCUGCCUUUGAGCGGGGGACAACAUUUGGAAACGAAUGCUAAUACCGCAUAAAAACUUUAAACACAAGUUUUAAGUUUGAAAGAUGCAAUUGCAUCACUCAAAGAUGAUUCCGCGUUGUAUUAGCUAGUUGGUGAGGUAAAGGCUCACCAAGGCGAUGAUACAUAGCCGACCUGAGAGGGUGAUCGGCCACAGUGGGACUGAGACACGGCCCAAACUCCUACGGGAGGCAGCAGUAGGGAAUCUUCGGCAAUGGACGAAAGUCUGACCGAGCAACGCCGCGUGAGUGAAGAAGGUUUUCGGAUCGUAAAACUCUGUUGGUAGAGAAGAACGUUGGUGAGAGUGGAAAGCUCAUCAAGUGACGGUAACUACCCAGAAAGGGACGGCUAACUACGUG
rnacentral:rRNA from 1 species